GACCUUGAUUCUCACAAAUUGCAAGCAUUUACUGAUGCCUACUCUGAGCUUGAGUCAACUCUAUCCGGCUUGAAUGUUGUUGUCGAGACCUACUUUGCUGAUGUACCUGCUGAGGCAUUCAAGACCCUCACAUCUUUGAAGGGUGUCACUGGAUAUGGUUUUGAUUUGGUUCGUGGAACUAAAACUCUUGACUUGAUCAAGAGUGAUUUCCCCAAGGGGAAAUACCUAUUUGCUGGAGUGGUUGAUGGAAGGAACAUCUGGGCCAAUGAUCUUGCUUCUUCUCUCAGCACCCUUCAGGAACUUGAGGGCAUUGUUGGCAAAGGUACUAAUCCAACUUGCAUUUUUCUGCCACUUAGAUUUAGAUUUUUUUCGACGUACAUGAGUUGAUUAUGUUUUCUCUUUGCAGACAAACUUGUAGUCUCCACCUCUUCCUCACUUCUGCACACUGCUGUUGAUCUCGUCAAUGAGACCAAGUUGGACCAGGAAAUCAAAUCAUGGCUUGCAUUUGCUGCCCAGAAAGUUGUUGAAGUG
rnacentral:lncRNA from 1 species